rnacentral:lncRNA from 1 species
UGGAAUCAACAAGAAGGAAGCUUGAAGCAUCUGAAGAAAAGUGCUCCUGAAGUCAAGUGUUCCUGAAGUGAUGACGUCAUCAGAAGCAAGUUCAUCAGAAGCAAUAUCACUAGAAGUUGAAGUUCAUCAGAAGAUGAGAGAUUUAAAGCUUCAAAGACUGUUCAAAGGAUUUAAUCACGCCUAGCAUUGCAGAAGACCAGAAGACCGAAGCAACAACUAAUUCAAAAGGAUUUGAAGGCAUUGGAUGCUUGUUCUUUGAAGAGCGUUGACAAAGUACAAUUGUACAAAGUGUACAACCACUACCUCUACUACUCUAUUUGUGUCUCUGCUACAGGACAAGAAUAACAUCUAUGCCUGCAACGUUGUUCCUUCAUACUUGGAAUGGAUUUGAAAUUGAUCCUUCAUAAGACAAUAACC